GGUUCCUGGCGACGGGGCCGGAGCUGGCGCAGUCCGCACAGCUCUACGACAUCAGCGGCGACAAGAUGAAGCUCCUGCUCGACUUCCCGACCAUCGGCGAGCCCCACUACGCGCAGGCGAUCGAUGCGAAGCUGAUUCGGGAUAAGCAGCUCAAGUUCUUCAAGCUCGCAGAGAACAAGCAUCCAUACGUGGCCCGCGCCGAAACGGAAACGAACGUGACGCGCAGCGGGAACGUCGUGCAUGUCAAGAUGACGGCGAUCCGCGGCCACUUUGCUCCAGACAACAUCGAAGGCGUGCAGGCAGGUGACACCGUGUACUUCCACGUCACCAACC
rnacentral:rRNA from 1 species